GCCAGCAUGGUGUAGUGGUUUCGAUAUUAGACUUUGAUUCUGGAGACCAGGGUUCAAUUCCCCACUGGUGACC